rnacentral:rRNA from 1 species
UACGGAGGGAGCUAGCGUUGUUCGGAAUUACUGGGCGUAAAGCGCGCGUAGGCGGCUUUGUAAGUUAGAGGUGAAAGCCCGGGGCUCAACCCCGGAAUUGCCUUUAAGACUGCAUCGCUUGAAUCCGGGAGAGGUGAGUGGAAUUCCGAGUGUAGAGGUGAAAUUCGUAGAUAUUCGGAAGAACACCAGUGGCGAAGGCGGGUCUCUGGACAGUUCCUGACGCUGAGGCACGAAGGCCAGGGGAGCAAACGGG